rnacentral:tRNA from 1 species
GUGAAUAUGGUUCAGUGGUAGAGUGCUUGCCUAGUAUGCAUGAAGUCCUGGGUUCAAUUCCUCAGUACCACA